AGCAGCCGCGGUAAUUCCAGCUCCAAUAGCGUAUAUUAAAGUUGUUGCAGUUAAAAAGCUCGUAGUUGAAUUUCGGGGUUAAUAAGUUGGUCGUGCCAAUGGUAUGUACUGGCUUUAUUGAUUCCUACUUCUUGAAGAACUGUGAUGCCAUUAAUUUGGUGUUGCAGGGAAUCAGGACUGUUACCUUGAAAAAAUUAGAGUGUUUAAAGCAGGCUUACGCUUGAAUACAUUAGCAUGGAAUAAUGAAAUAGGACGUUUGAACCUAUUUUGUUGGUUUCUAGGAUCGACGUAAUGAUUAAUAGGGAUAGUUGGGGGCAUUAGUAUUCAAUUGUCAGAGGUGAAAUUCUUGGAUUUAUUGAAGACUAACUACUGCGAAAGCAUUUGCCAAGGAUGUUUUCAUUAAUCAAGAACGAAAGUUAGGGGAUCGAAGACGAUCAGAUACCGUCGUAGUCUUAACCAUAAACUAUGCCGACUAGGGAUCGGAUGAUGUUAAUUUUUAAUUGACUCAUUCGGCGCCUUA
rnacentral:rRNA from 1 species